rnacentral:misc_RNA from 1 species
GGCACUACUUACUCCUUCUUACUAUAUGCUAGAUUUUUACGCACAACAGGACACACCAAAGCAAUCAUGAAGCCAAUUUCUUUUGUGUUGAUCUUCUUUCUUCUUCUUCUCCUCCUUCUAUCCUCAACAUCUGCUCGUCUCUAUCUUCCCCCAAAACAAGGUAAUUAAUUAAUUAACCUAUAUAUCUUCUUGUUUCUUUCCUCUUAGUUUUGUUUUCUCUCUCUCUAUAUAUUCAUGCGUUUUUUUACAGAAGAAAAAGAGUUGAAAAGUACUGAUGGUUCAUUCACAGAGAGAAAAGAAGAUGUUUCCACUCUCAUGGGGUUAGAGGAAUAUGAAUGCGAAGAGGGAGAUGAAGAGUGUCUCAAGAGAAGGAUGGUAGCAGAAGCUCACUUGGAUUACAUUUACACCCAACACCAUAAGAAGCCUUAAUAGUUUGAGAUGCCUAAAGUUCAUUACAUGUAUUAUAAUAUAGGACUAUAAUUAAGUGUUUAUAUUAAUUAAUUACCCACUUUACCAUAUAAUUAGUCUCAUACCCUCCUUGUAUUGUAACAGUAGGAUGAUGUUGGUAAAGUUAAUUAAGUGGAUUUCCAUUUUCCAGAGGAAUUAAUACAAGGGAAUCUU